UGCCGACUAAGUUAGUUAGACAUGUUGAUUUGCUAAUCUGAAUAUAAUCAAUUGGAUGUCAAAUUUGCUAAUUUAGAAGAAAUCUAAAUCUAAAUCUCCUCACUAAAUAUUAAGUCUAGAGGUCUUCCAUCGUUGUAGAGAUGCGGGUGCCUUCUUGGCUUUGAUCAUUUUCGACUGAUUACAGUGGUUCGGUUGCAUCAAGAAGGUACAAUCACUCUAUUGACAUUUGAUGUCCUGGGAUAG
rnacentral:lncRNA from 1 species